rnacentral:tRNA from 1 species
UCAUAUGUGUUGAUUUAGCACUGGAUUUAGGUUCCAGCGCCGCAAGGCGUGGAGGUUCGAGUCCUCUCAUCCGCACCA